UCUGUAACUGGCAGCACUUGCUUAGGGCUCCUAAGAUUGGCUCCUUAUGGGGUUGGCUUUUUCAUGAACUUCGGUGUGAGAAACAGUGGCUGAAAACAGACUGACAUGAGGAAAUGGAUGGGAACUAGAGUAAGCGCGUCUCCCCACUUCCUGAACAGGGUCUUCCUUGGAUGCCUUUGAAUUGUGCCCUCUACCAAAUACCCUCCCACCUUGUAGACAGAGACAUGGUGAGUUUGUUUCACUUCCUGCCAGUGCUCACUGUCCUACCUGAUGCGGGUCAGCUAGAACACUUGAUCAGGGCUAUAGCCCCAGAUAUA
rnacentral:lncRNA from 1 species